GAAAGCGUAGGAAAAAUAGGGAGCUAGAGUAGCCUUAAAACGCCCUCGGAGUAUCCAACUAGCGUGGAGUUAUGAGAGCAUAGUUAGUAUUUCAUGACGAAUGAACACGAGGUGAGGCAUUGGAUGUAUUUCCAACUAUGCACCAGCUAAUCCAGAUAUAAACCCUCCUUAUUAAGUACGGUUUUAGAGAUAACAUUAUGUUAGCUAUUGUAGUAAUCAAGUAAUCAUUUAAAAUUAGUUGGGGGUGAUAUCAUUGUAUUAAAACAUAGUUAAAAACGUUAUUUCUGUGUUAUCUAAAUCAGUUUAUUCGGAUAUUUAUUUUGGUGGAUAUUCGAAUAAUUAGAAUAUCACAAUAUUCUAAUUGCAAACCCUACAUAUAACUUCCCAGUAGGGACACAAAUAGGUAAUGUAAAUACUGCGAGGAGGAUCUUGUUUAGGAAAAACCAGAGCGAUCGAGUAUAUUCCUUCAACAGGAUGCUCUCCUACAGCAUAUAAAAAGGGCUUAACAGACCCACAUUGGGACCAAUUUACCUGAAUAGCGACCCACAAAUGCUAGAUUCUUGCAACUAGGCUUGGCGAAAGAAAAAUGAUGGACCAGCGUACACCUCUGCAAGGAGCUAUUGUCUUGCAAGUGCAAAGAACGCUGUACAGGGUGUGGGGGAGUAAAACACGGAUUUAAAUACACUAUGCUUUGCGUAUGCGAAGGUGCAUGCUCUGGGACAAAAUAAUACGUAAAAAAAAAAUAUUUUUGUUUAAUUAGUGUGUAACUUUAAUUAGCUAGAUCCGGAGUAAAUUACAAUAAAACGAUCUCAGUAUUCUUAAUUUUGAUAAUAAUACUUUUAUCGAAAAUAUUUUAAGUUACCUUUACUUAAACAUCAUUUGCCUUGCAAAUUGUAUUGAAACAGCCCUCCGACUCUUGGUGGUGUCAUCCGGUAUGGAACAAAAAUAGUGUAAUUUGCUUGUUUAUAAACCGAUUUUCAAAAUUUUAAUGGAAUUUUAUAGCUUAUUAAUGUAGCAUUCAUAUCUUGAUACAACGUCUUCCUGUAAAGUUACUAGUAAAGUUGAUGAAAACAAAAAACGGAUUUUUUUUCGGGAAAAUUUAAAUAAAACUUAAAAUUUCUCGCAAACUAUGGUAUUUACAAGGUCAAAUGUAUAAACGAUAUUGUAGCGCAUUUAAUUUUGCUUUUUAUGACACCCCACACAAGCUUACAUGUGAUAUAAUUCCUGUGGUAUACGCAAUAUUCUGAACACGGCACCGGCCAUUUUGAUGACGUCAUAACUGGUGACUUAACCACGUUAGAAACUGUCUCCCGAUGGUUUUUUAGUCAGAAUAACAUGCUUAACAACAUACUAAAAUAUGAUGCUGGUUUCAUCAAAGGCACCUUUUGGGCCCUAUAUGACCAUAAGGGAAGCGACUUCAUACCUACUCGUAUAACAUUUUUUAUACAAUCAAACACAUUUGAAUAAGUAGUCGAUAAAGCAGUCAAACACCGAUAGAUUAUUAAUAUGUUGUAACAUGACAUCACUAUUUUUGAUCUCACAUAGACAAUUUAAAGGUGUAUGUCAAGUCCCCAAUCCGCAUUGGGCUAGCGUGGGGACUAUAGCCCGAGCCCUCUCGCGCAUGAGAGGAGGCCUGUGCCCAGCAGUGGGACGUAUAUAGGCUGAAUUAUUAUUAUUAUUAUUAUUAUAGACAAUUUACGCACAAACUUGCAUUUCAUUUUUGGUCGCACUUUUGAAGUUUGACAGUCGUUCUUGAUAUCCUAUUUCUAUGUAUCCGGAUCCGAAAAAUUGUCGGAUAUUGCAAACCCUAGCUGCGCGCUGCGCUAUCUCCCCGCCCCGCGCGCCCCGCGCCGCGUGCUGCCAACCACCUUCGCUUGCAGUUCGUUGCGAUUAAUUCUAUUUACUUUUUGACAAACUUCCUGUAAAAAAAAACUAUUUUUUAUUUAGUGCAAAUGUAGUGUCUUUAGAUAAGUACCGUUUUUAAAAUUUUCACGUCUCUCUUAAUUUCCCCCGAAGCACAAUGUACAAAAUAAUUAAAAAUACAUGUUCCAUAAUUUGCCCAGGCGUGCAAAGUUAACUGAAUGUUUAUAAUGCUUUAAAAAGCUUAACUUGAGAUUGCACCAACCGACUGACUUAUCCUCGAGCCGCAAUCGAAAAAAAAAAUUUUUUUAGGGUAUCAUACAUUGCACAUCUUUUUAAUUAAGAUAUACUAUGCACCAAGGUGUUCUCUAUACACUACUUAGCUUGAACCUAAUAGCUUUUAAUUUACUCCAAAAUUACGGCACUUUAUAGUUUAUACCUAAAAUUUAACGGUCUUCCGUACAUAAUAGAAACGGUGCAACUCGGGGGAAACAAUCUAGUUGCGCCAUCUAACAAAUCCAAAAAAAGCACGACUACACGACUUACUUCCAUACUUUUUCUUAACUUGACUAUACUAACAUACUAAAGGUUAUAUUUCAUCUCGACUCCUGUCAAUGUUCGCCACCGUUGAGAACUCUUUAAAACAUUUUAACGGACCUAAACAUAGCCAAGUGCAAUUAAAAAGUCUUGGCUGGUUAUAAUGAAUUGUUUUAGUGUUUAACCUUGGUGGCGUGUAAGAAUAUUUAAACAAUGGGUAUUGUUAUCAAAAUAGAUUUGUAAUAACUACUGCUUGUUAAAAAUAUUUAUUAGUAUAUAAAAUAAUUAAUAUGCAAUUUUGUAGAUCUUGCAUCUUAGAUAGCUAAUCUAAUUAGUAACAACGCAGACUUUGGUUUGAUGUUGAAAAGAAAUCCGUCAAUUUUUUCCCAAGGGUUUGACAACGCGAUAACAAAUCAUAACGUGUUGUGUUUUUACCCGCCCUCCUAAUAGUAAGCGACAACCGCAGCCUAUGUAAGCCUUCAACUCGAACGCAACUCCUUCGCCAGGCCCCCUUUACGCGCGCAAUUCGAACACUUAAUCGAGUAGCGAUUAAAUUUGUUUCUUUGUUCUUUGAGCGAAUUCACGAGGGCCACGCUAUAUGUAUUGUGUUACUGUAAGUUUUAAUAAUCUAUGUACUAUAUACCUAUGUUUUUUAUUUUCUUUUGUGUUUCAAAUUCCAUACUGUCGAAUUAGGAUAGCCUGUAAUGAUCGUUGUGUGUGUGUAAGUUUAAUUAAAAAAAAAAUCCAGUGCCAGUUGUGAUUUCAGCACGUUACCGAUCUUAUAAGAUGGCCACUGGCAUGGAGAUCUGCUUAGACGCAAUGUAACGCGGCAACGCUCGUCCGCCAACAGCGCGCUCGCGCAUAGCGCUAGGAACGACUGGUAUCUGGUCUGCAGGUGUUCGUCACUCACCUGUUGAUCUGCUUCAGGAUAGGCACGGGCGUGGAGGUCUGUUUGGGCUCGGAUGCGAUGUAGCGCGGCGCGCGCUCCUCCGCGUACUGUGCGCUCGCGGCGCACGCGCACAACGCCAGCAUCGACUGCAAAACGUAAGGUACACAUUAAGUAUUCGUUUAUAUGAGAUUGUUUUACAAAAUAAAAACCUGUUCUUAUAUAA